rnacentral:rRNA from 1 species
GCGUGCGCAGGCGGCUUUGCAAGACAGAUGUGAAAUACCCCGGGCCGUCAACCUGGGAACUGCAUUUGUGACUGCAUGACUAGAGUACGGUAGAGGGGGAUGGAAUUCCGCGUGUAGCAGUGAAAUGCGUAGAUAUGCGGAGGAACACCGAUGGCGAAGGCAAUCCCCUGGACCUGUACUGACGCUCAUGCACGAAAGCGUGGGGAGCAAACAGGAUUAGAUACCCCAGU